UUCAGCUUCUCUCUCCGUCUCUUGUCUGUCUGAAUGAUUGUCUCUGAUUCUAGAGAGUUUGCUAGUUUCUUUUUUGGAGCAUCAUGUCGUGAACUCAUAACAUGAAAAUGGCUUGUAUUUGUAGAGCAUAUUAAUCCUUCCAUACAUCAUACUGGUUGUUGUAAUGGAAGUGAAAUGACUUGAUGAAAAAGUUAUGUGUGGUUGGUGAGCGACUAAGCGGGAACUGUGUAUUGUAUGCUAUUGUUUUGAAGACUAUUUAUCAGUUUCAUUUAUAGGUACUGGCUUAACAAGAAAUGGAAGUUGCGAAAGGGAAUGUUCAAUAAUGGGUGUAAACCACACAUUUUUGCUACCAAUUUGCAAUGCAGUAAAGGCAGUCUAAUCAUGUUGUCCUCUAGAUGCACCUUCGCCAUUUCCCCGAAGAAAGACUUGUGUGUUUGUAUCCAUCAUAGGUGUCUUGAAAAUUCCGUCCGAGAGAGGAGUACAACUAACUAUUUAAACCGAUACCGACUCAACCAAAGAAAGUAAACUUCAGGUUGGACCCACGGGAAUGGAACAAGGUAGUCUACCGAGGAUCAGCAAGAAAGGGGAGGAAAUUCCACCGCCAGUGCCGUGCCAAUCAGCAUGAGGUUUUAAGGUUGAGCUGAUGAGCCGGAAUCCUGUUCAUCGUGUGAUUAAUGUUCCGGCCUUGUUUUCGCACUGCUGGAUGCCAACUGAAAACAAGUUACGUCGUGGACAGCACAGCUCCCGAUCCACGGUGAAUGGACCGGAAACCGGGAUGGAAUUGAUUAGCGGAUGAUUGAUUGGCGUCACAACGUAAGUGAACAGAGUUGAGGUGUAGGACUGGACGAAGAAGAAAGCGGCCAGGGUCCACACUCCAGCAACUAGUCGGAUAAUUAUCCCAUUAAAAUGUGCCAACCGGCCAUUGAAACGGUUUGACGACGGCGUUGAUGUUGGCCGUUUCAUCAGGGACGGGAAUGAGAAAAGCGAAGUGGUCGUAAAUCCAAGACUGUCACCUCCUGUCAUCUUAGCCUAGUUAGUAUGAAAAAAUUUGGAACUCAACUUGAUCCCACAAAUAACUGAAAAGUCCACGUUCUUUUUCCGUUGGCGUCUGUCUGUUUUCCGUCACUCUGACCAUUUCGUAACUGGCCGGAGGAUUAAUUAAAUGAUUUCCAGUAGCACUCCUCCUUUGAGCGGUCCAAAUAGUCCUUUGGGGUUUCCACUCCAUCGUGUCUGCCACGAAUUACAUGACGCGGAGGUGUUGGCCGCUGAGCGGAUUGGGCGUCGGUGAGGAACCGUGAAAAGAAAUGCAGAACCAAGUGAAGAAUGUUAAGAAAGGUAAGAGCGACAUUGCGAUUCAGUUGAUCGCAUUUGCUGACCGUCUAAUGUCUUGGUGGCCAGCAACUAUCCCUUAAAUACCCGUGAGUAUGUUUUAAAGUACGUCACUGCACCGAGUGGAAACAAACUAUUUGUUUUGGAGACAAGCAUACUACCGUCGUCAUCAAGUCUAUAAUUCUUCGUGAUUUAGGCUAGUAUGUGAUAUUUUGUCGAUUUAUGCAUUUUGUCUUCAAAGAACAUUCGGUAUUGCUUUAUUCACGCGUACAUAAUGCAACGGUUGUCAACUGUUCGAAGGUUGUAGGACCACAUCACAUGUUAGUUCAGAUUUUAAAAUUCAUCUGCGAUAUUCGUAUUUUCAGGCAUAGUUUCGGUUUAGUUGUACGAUACUUUGGAUUUCUUUUAUGUGACAUUAAGGUGAGUGUAUGUAUCCGAAACUGAUACGGAUACGAUUCGCAGUAGGAAUUGUUGGUGUUUGAAAUUAUUCAUUUGACAUUGACAACCUCCUACCAACGAUUGAACAUUUGCUCACAGCAGAUUCCACAUAGCGAAAGAGUAAAAGAAAAGGAAAAAAGCCCGUCUUGGAACUUUUAAACAGAAAUGCUCCACCCUCAUAUUGCCGUUGGUUGUCAACUCUCUUUUUUCGUAUAAAACCGUGGAUGAUUCGGUUGGAAAGUAUCAGUUAUCCAGCUGUUUCAAACAAGUCAACUACUGCUCCGACAUG
rnacentral:misc_RNA from 1 species